GAAAGGCGGGCUAAACCCGCGUACAUGCCACCGGGGCAUCCCGGAGGCAGGAAAGGCUUCGGCCGGACAGGGAUGGGCAUGCGGCGCAUUAGGCAGUAGGCGGGGUAACGGCCCACCUAACCGACGAUGCGUAGGGGUUCUGAGAGGAAGGUCCCCCACACUGGUACUGAGGCACGGACCAGACUCCUACGGGAGGCAGCAGUGAGGAAUAUUGGUCAAUGGUCGGGAGACUGAACCAGCCAAGCCGCGUGAGGGAUGAAGGUACAGAGUAUCGUAAACCUCUUUUGUCAGGGAACAAAGGCGGGGACGUGUCCCCGGAUGAGUGUACCUGAAGAAAAAGCAUCGGCUAACUCCGUGCCAGCAGCCGCGGUAAUACGGAGGAUGCGAGCGUUAUCCGGAUUUAUUGGGUUUAAAGGGUGCGCAGGCGGUCUGUUAAGUCAGCGGUCAAAGCCCGGGGCUCAACCCCGGUCCGCCGUUGAAACUGGCAGUCUCAAGUUGGAGAGAAGUAUGCGGAAUGCGCGGUGUAGCGGUGAAAUGCAUAGAUAUCGCGCAGAACUCCGAUUGCGAAGGCAGCAUGCCGGCUCCACACUGACGCUGAGGCACGAAAGCGUGGGUAUCGAACAGGAUUAGAUACCCUGGUAGUCC
rnacentral:rRNA from 1 species